rnacentral:lncRNA from 1 species
CGAGGGGUCCGCGGGGAACGCCGGGGGUUCCCGAAGCCCGAGCGGGCCGCGCCUCAAGGAUGGCCUGAAGGAGGGCCUGCCCGCCGCUCUGCGUGCUGCUGCGCUGCUGCCGGCCGGCCCGCGAACGCUGCUCCCUCGCUGCUUUACUUCAGGCACCGAGGCGCGGCGGAUCCCGGGGCGGAUGGGACCUGCAAGGCAGUGGUUUGCUUGUAUCCAUACCUUGGAGAAAGGGAGAUGCAGGGAAGACAGAGCCAGGCUCCUGACAGCUGUACCAGCACCAGGACCAGAGGCGCUGAGCAUGAGCUGAAGUGCAGAAGAUGACAGUCCAAGAGGAAGGAAAGGACAAGGGAAGUUGUACAGAGAAAACACUUUCAACAUCACAACCAGUACCUGUAUUUGUAGCACACCUCUGUGAAAAG